rnacentral:rRNA from 1 species
CAGCCGCCACGGGAAUACGUAGGGUGCGAGCGUUAAUCGGAAUUACUGGGCGUAAAGCGUGCGCAGGCGGUUGUGUAAGACAGGUGUGAAAUCCCCGGGCUUAACCUGGGAACUGCGCUUGUGACUGCACAGCUAGAGUAUGGCAGAGGGGGGUGGAAUUCCACGUGUAGCAGUGAAAUGCGUAGAGAUGUGGAGGAACACCGAUGGCGAAGGCAGCCCCCUGGGCCAAUACUGACGCUCAUGCACGAAAGCGUGGGGAGCAAAUGGGAUUAGAUACCCCGGUAGUCCCUGUCUCUUAUAC